GAGAGAGAGAGAGAGAGAGAGAUGGUCUCCUCCAGAAAAGCCCGACAUGCUGCUGUACUGUGACGGUCUGCUGCACGGGCUGCAAGGCAUGGAGGAUAUUCAGAAAACGGCCAGCCUUUACAGCUCUCUUGCUCUUGUAAGACAGGAUGCAACAAAAGGCCUCACAGCAGUUAUGAAGAUAAUCUCCCAACAUGUGAAACUGGAAGCGUAAUUCUCCUCCUCUAGAGUAUCAUGGCUUAAUCAAGCAGCGACAGAGAUGGUAAUCCUCUGGUCUUAAUGAUGAUGGAUGGAGAGGUGUCCUUCGUCUUUAAGCCUGUUUGCUUCGCUCCGCUGUUUGCCAUUGAUUCAAGGAUUAACAAUCUAAAUGGGUUUGAUCAAAAAACUGUAAAUAGUAACUGAAAGGAGCUGAUGGAAAUCACCAAAGCCAAACAAUAAACUGUGAAAACAAUGAGUGUGUGUGUGUGUGUAAGCCGGAGGCACAGCUCCCUGUGGUUGAGUCAUAGGGGGAUAAACACGGGCA